rnacentral:rRNA from 1 species
CCUACGGGUGGCAGCAGUGAGGAAUAUUGGUCAAUGGACGGAAGCCUGAACCAGCCAAGCCGCGUGCAGGAUGAAGGCUCUAUGGGUUGUAAACUUCUUUUGUACGGGAGUAAAGUUGAGUACGUGUUCCCUGCUGUAUGUACCGUACGAAUAAGCAUCGGCUAACUCCGUGCCAGCAGCCGCGGUAAUACGGAGGAUGCAAGCGUUAUCCGGAUUUAUUGGGUUUAAAGGGUGCGUAGGCGGUUUAUUAAGUCAGCGGUAAAAUUUUCGGGCUCAACCCGGGCCGGCCGUUGAAACUGGGGGUCUUGAGUGGGCGAGAAGUAUGCGGAAUGCGUGGUGUAGCGGUGAAAUGCAUAGAUAGCACGCAGAACGCCGAUUGCGAAGGCAGCAUACCGGCGCCCGACUGACGCUGAGGCACGAAAGCGUGGGGAUCGAACAGGAUUAGAUACCCUUGUAGUC